rnacentral:lncRNA from 1 species
GGAUUAUUGGGGGCAAAGACACCCCUAGAAGCUUACCGUUUUAAAAGCCCCUUGGGGUGCCAAAUCCCUUCUCCUGGAGCGCACUUGGGUGUUCAUCCACCCCGUCCAAUAUUUUCUAGAGCCUGGGCGGUCACUGUUGCUGGGGCUUCCUGGCGUCAUGUGUGAGCACCAGGGCUAUGAGACGCCAUCCUGGCAGAUGCGGGCGUCUCCAGCGCGGGCCGGGCCGGAGCUGCCCCGAAGCUCAACGCUCCAUCCCGUCCCGUCUUCGGAGGGCUGGAGUGCAGCGGCAUGAACAGGGCUCCCUGCAGCCCCAACUUCCUGGGCCCAAGUGAUCCUCAUGCCUCAGCCUUCUGAGUAGCUGGGACUACAGGCACAUGUCACCACACCUGGCUAAUUUAUUUCUAAUUUUUGUUGUUGUUGAGAUGAGGUCUUGCUAUGUUGCUCAGGCUGGUCUUAAACUCCUGGGCAACUCUGGGACAUGGUUAAAGAGAUGUUUCACAAGUAACAGCAUGCUGUAGAAACCCUGAACCCCAAACUUACGGAUCCUCAGGAACACCCCAGACUUUAGAAGGAAAGUCAGAAGGUGCUGACACAGGUGCAUAACUAAAGGGAAAUCCUUCUUUCUCAGCUCCAACCAUGGCUGUGAGCUUCAUUCACACUGACUUAAAAAAAAAAAUCUCAGCUGUUUACUUAAAAGUAAAUAGCUUUUUCUAUAAUUCUGGUUUGCUAAUUUAAUUCUAAUCUCCAGACUCUGGCAAAAUACAUGCUCACUUUUUUUUUCUUUUUCUUUCUUUCUUUUUUUU